rnacentral:rRNA from 10 species
GAUUUGCGAGUGUUUUAGUUUCAAACUAACACGCGAAGCGAAAGCGCAAUCUUCGAAUCGUGAUGCGGUUUGAAAGAUAACAGUGGACAGUAUUUGCUGCGCUUCAGGCGCGGCAAAAGUCUGCUGGCAGCAGGUAUGCUGAGACCCGAAAGAUGGUGAACUAUGCCUGAGCAAGAUGAAGUCAGGGGAAACCCUGAUGGAAGUCUGACGCGAUACUGACGUGCAAAUCGUUCGCUAGACUUGGGCAUAGGGGCGAAAGACCAAUCGAACCAUCUAGUAGCUGGUUCCCUGCGAAGUUUCCCUCAGGAUAGUUGGGACAAAUGCAGUUUGAUUCGGUAAAGAUCAUGAUUAGAGGCUCCCGGAGCUAAACGCACCCA